AUGACCGGAAAGGGGGCUGACAACGGGGAAAGAGACGAUGGCCAGGAGCAGCUGCGAGCUCCACCGCCGGCGCUCUCGAGCUCGCAUACGUGCGGGCCGACGCCGCUUGGCCACGAGCAGCAGCUCCACCGCGGCUCCCCUGCAGCUCCAUCCCUUGCCCUUGCACCUCGCUGCGGCACAGCCCGGGGAACCUCAACGAUGAGCUCCGCCACCACUGGGGCGCUCGAGCUCGCCGGCGUGCGGACCGAGGGCGCCGUGCGGCGAGCCGCAGCUCCACCGCGCCUCCCCUGCCCCUUGCUGCCGUGCAGCCCAUCGACCCUUGACACACGCCAUUGA
rnacentral:rRNA from 1 species